rnacentral:tRNA from 1 species
GCUUCCGUGGCGCAAUAGGCAGCGCGUUCGGCUGUUAACCGAAAGGUU